rnacentral:rRNA from 1 species
GAUGAACGCUGGCGGCGUGCCUAACACAUGCAAGUCGAGCGGCAGCGAGGGGUGCUUGCACCCUGUCGGCGAGCGGCGGACGGCUGAGUAACGCGUGGGAACGUGCCCCAAAGUGAGGAAUAACUGCCCGAAAGGGUAGCUAAUACCGCAUAUUAUCUUCGGAUCAAAGGAUUUAUCCGCUUUGGGAGCGGCUCGCGUCGGAUUAGGUAGUUGGUGAGGUAAUGGCUCACCAAGCCGACGAUCCGUAGCUGGUCUGAGAGGAUGACCAGCCAGACUGGAACUGAGACACGGUCCAGAAUCCUACGGGAGGCAGCAGUGAGGAAUCUUCCAAAAUGGGCGAAAGCCUGAUGGAGCAACGCCGCGUGCAGGACGAAGGCCUUCGGGUUGUAAACUGCUUUUAUAAGUGAGGAAUAUGACGGUAACUUAUGAAUAAGGAUCGGCUAACUACGUG